GAACAAUGGGACAGAUCACUGUCACACAGCAAGACAGAGAAGUCACAGUAAAGGAGAGAGACACCUUCCAGACCACCUGCACCUACCAGAGUAGUAACUUUUAUGGCUUUGUUUUGGAGCCAGCCAAAAAGCUAAUCUCCUAUCAGGCAGCUGCUGGCCGCAAGCAGAGUGGCCGUUUCACCACGCUGCUGAACACCACCGGGAAAUACAGCCUCCUGCAGCUGCCGGGGGUCGAGCUCUCCGACAGUGCCUUGUACCUCUGUGCUGGGCAAGACACCCUGGUGCAGGGAGCUGCCUCGGCUGUGCAAUAA